CUUUUUGAAGUCUUCGGAUGGAUAGAAGAACCCCUGAUGCCGUCGAGCCAAGAAAAGUUUCUAAGUUUAGCUAAUGUUGCCCGUACCGUAAACCGACACAGGUGGGUGGGAUGAGUAUUCUAAGGCGCGUGGAAGAACUCUCUUUAAGGAACUCUGCAAAAUAGCACCGUAUCUUCGGUAUAAGGUGUGGUUAGCUUCGUACUAGGAUUUACUCCGAAAGCGAAGAAACUUACAACAAAGAGUCCCUCCCGACUGUUUACCAAAAACACAGCACUCUGCUAACUCGUAAGAGGAUGUAUAGGGUGUGACGCCUGCCCGGUGCUCGAAGGUUAAUUGAUGGGGUUAGCAUUAGCGAAGCUCUUGAUCGAAGCCCGAGUAAACGGCGGCCGUAACUAUAACGGUCCUAAGGUAGCGAAAUUCCUUGUCGGUUAAAUACCGACCUGCAUGAAUGGCGUAACGAGAUGGGAGCUGUCUCAAAGAGGGAUCCAGUGAAAUUGUAGUGGAGGUGAAAAUUCCUCCUACCCGCGGCAAGACGGAAAGACCCCGUGGACCUUUACUACAGCUUGACACUGCUACUUGGAUAAGAAUGUGCAGGAUAGGUGGGAGGCUUUGAGUAUAUGACGCCAGUUGUAUAUGAGCCAUUGUUGAGAUACCACUCUUUCUUAUUUGGGUAGCUAACCAGCUUGAGUUAUCCUCAAGUGGGACAAUGUCUGGUGGGUAGUUUGACUGGGGCGGUCGCCUCCCAAAUAAUAACGGAGGCUUACAAAGGUUGGCUCAGAACGGUUGGAAAUCGUUCGUAGAGUAUAAAGGUAUAAGCCAGCUUAACUGCAAGACAUACAAGUCAAGCAGAGACGAAAGUCGGUCUUAGUGAUCCGGUGGUUCUGUGUGGAAGGGCCAUCGCUCAAAGGAUAAAAGGUACCCCGGGGAUAACAGGCUGAUCUCCCCCAAGAGCUCACAUCGACGGGGAGGUUUGGCACCUCGAUGUCGGCUCAUCGCAUCCUGGGGCUGGAGCAGGUCCCAAGGGUAUGGCUGUUCGCCAUUUAAAGCGGUACGCGAGCUGGGUUCAGAACGUCGUGAGACAGUUCGGUCCCUAUCUGCCGUGGGCGUAAGAAGAUUGAAGAGAUUUGACCCUAGUACGAGAGGACCGGGUUGAACAAACCACUGGUGUAGCUGUUGUUCUGCCAAGAGCAUCGCAGCGUAGCUAAGUUUGGAAAGGAUAAACGCUGAAAGCAUCUAAGCGUGAAGCCAACUCUAAGAUGAAUCUUCUCUAAGCUCUCUAGAAGACUACUAGUUUGAUAGGCUGGGUGUGUAAUGGAUGAAAGUCCUUUAGCUGACCAGUACUAAUAGAGCGUUUGGCUUAUCUUU
rnacentral:rRNA from 1 species